CUUGACACAGGGUCAUUUUGACAUGACCUAAAUAUCAAGCCAGUAAGUUGUCAGUGUGUAUUGUGAUGCCUUAGCAUGCUGCAGGGAGAUGGGGAGGGGGUGACGGGACAUGUGCAGUAGCAUCAAGGAUGGAGGAGGCUCAGGACUAAGACACAGAAUGAGGAGAAGGUCAGAAAUAGUAAAGGGUCAGGGAUACCAUGGUUGCACUCAGUACUGCACUGUAAGAAAAAUGGACACGUUCAAAUUGUGGACUUGCCCUGGGCUGGACUGCUGGGAAUACACUUGGCAGUGACUGUGUCAGUGGUGCUGUUGAGGCAAAGGGGAAGCAGUGAUAAAAGUAGCUGGAUGGAGCGUGAAGUUGCAUACGGUUGCUGAAAAAGGUACCAACAGAGGUGAGGGAUAAACGGUGGGUCUCAUGGGGGAAAAGAAGGGUUAAAUCACAUCACAUCUAGAUCUGGAAUUUCUCCACUUUUUUCCAGGAACCUCUGGAUUGAUUAAAUGGCAAAUUCUGGCAACCCAGUCCUGGCGCUGUCAUUUCUCCCAUUCUGCCGCAUGCUUCUACACACACGUACAUACACAGAGACUCUCCA
rnacentral:lncRNA from 1 species